rnacentral:tRNA from 1 species
AGAAUUGUGCCUGAGUGUCUAAGGGCCAUGUUGAUGUCGUGAUCUACGGGGGCUAAAAUCCCCCCAAUUCUA